GCCCGGUUAGCUCAGAUGGUAGAGCGUGGGACUUUUAAUCCUGAGGUCGAGGGUCCAAGUCCCUCAUCGGGCG
rfam:Daphnia pulex DAPPTscaffold_597_Cont10172, whole genome shotgun sequence.